rnacentral:rRNA from 1 species
GACGAACGCUGGCGGCGUGCUUAACACAUGCAAGUCGAACGGAAAGGCCCUGCUUUUGUGGGGUGCUCGAGUGGCGAACGGGUGAGUAACACGUGAGUAACCUGCCCUUGACUUUGGGAUAACUUCAGGAAACUGGGGCUAAUACCGGAUAGGAGCUCCUGCUGCAUGGUGGGGGUUGGAAAGUUUCGGCGGUUGGGGAUGGACUCGCGGCUUAUCAGCUUGUUGGUGGGGUAGUGGCUUACCAAGGCUUUGACGGGUAGCCGGCCUGAGAGGGUGACCGGCCACAUUGGGCCUGAGAUACGGACCAGAAUCCUACGGGAGGCAGCAGUGGGGAAUAUUGCACAAUGGGCGGAAGCCUGAUGCAGCAACGCCGCGUGCGGGAUGACGGCCUUCGGGUUGUAAACCGCUUUCGCCUGUGACGAAGCGUGAGUGACGGUAAUGGGUAAAGAAGCACCGGCUAACUACGUG